UGUAGCAUCAGGAGUCAGGAAAGACAUUCCAAGGAACGGGCAUCAGGAGGCAGGACGUGACCUUCCAGAGAAGCAGGCUUGUACCAGUCUCCAGAAAAAUCCAGGCGGGAGAGUGGAACCUUUAGACUGGCUACGAGCCUCUGGCACUGGGCACUGGGCUGUCUAACCAGAGCAUCAGAUUACGCAUCAGGAGGCAGGACGUGACCUUCCAGAGAAGCAGGCUCGUACCAGGCUCCAGAAAAAUCCAGGCGGG